rnacentral:rRNA from 1 species
CCUACGGGAGGCAGCAGUAAGGAAUAUUGGGCAAUGGAGGCAACUCUGACCCAGCCAUGCCGCGUGAAGGAUGAAGGCCCUAUGGGUUGUAAACUUCUUUUGUACGGGAAUAAACCUGGUUACGUGUAACCAGUUGAAUGUACCGUAAGAAUAAGCACCGGCUAACUCCGUGCCAGCAGCCGCGGUAAUACGGAGGGUGCAAGCGUUAUCCGGAUUUAUUGGGUUUAAAGGGAGCGUAGGCGGGAUUGUAAGUCAGUGGUGAAAGCCCGUAGCUCAACUACGGAACUGCCAUUGAUACUGCAGACCUAGAGUACACUUGAAGUGGGCGGAAUGUGUCAUGUAGCGGUGAAAUGCUUAGAUAUGACACAGAACACCAAUUGCGAAGGCAGCUCACUAAAUUGUAACUGACGCUGAGGCUCGAUAGCGUGGGGAUCAAACAGGAUUAGAUACCCUGGUAGUCCACGCCGUAAACGAUGAUUACUCGAUGUUGGCGAUACACUGUCAGCGUCUGAGCGAAAGCAUUAAGUAAUCCACCUGGGGAGUACGGUCGCAGACUGAAACUCAAAGGAAUUGACGG